AGAGUUUGAUCAUGGCUCAGGACGAACGCUGGCGGCGUGCCUAAUACAUGCAAGUCGAACGAAGCUUUCUUUCACCGAAUGCUUACAUUCACCGAAAGAAGCUUAGUGGCGAACGGGUGAGUAACACGUAGGCAACCUGCCCAAAAGAGGGGGAUAACACUUGGAAACAGGUGCUAAUACCGCAUAACCAUGAACACCGCAUGAUGUUCAUGUAAAAGACGGCUUUUGCUGUCACUUUUGGAUGGGCCUGCGGCGUAUUAACUUGUUGGUGGGGUAACGGCCUACCAAGGUGAUGAUACGUAGCCGAACUGAGAGGUUGAUCGGCCACAUUGGGACUGAGACACGGCCCAAACUCCUACGGGAGGCAGCAGUAGGGAAUCUUCCACAAUGGACGAAAGUCUGAUGGAGCAACGCCGCGUGAAUGAAGAAGGCCUUCGGGUCGUAAAAUUCUGUUGUCAGAGAAGAACGUGCGUGAGAGUAACUGUUCACGUAUUGACGGUAUCUGACCAGAAAGCCACGGCUAACUACGUGCCAGCAGCCGCGGUAAUACGUAGGUGGCGAGCGUUGUCCGGAUUUAUUGGGCGUAAAGGGAACGCAGGCGGUCUUUUAAGUCUGAUGUGAAAGCCUUCGGCUUAACCGAAGUAGUGCAUUGGAAACUGGAAGACUUGAGUGCAGAAGAGGAGAGUGGAACUCCAUGUGUAGCGGUGAAAUGCGUAGAUAUAUGGAAGAACACCAGUGGCGAAAGCGGCUCUCUGGUCUGUAACUGACGCUGAGGUUCGAAAGCGUGGGUAGCAAACAGGAUUAGAUACCCUGGUAGUCCACGCCGUAAACGAUGAGUGCUAAGUGUUGGAGGGUUUCCGCUCUUCAGUGCUGCAGCUAACGCAUUAAGCACUCCGCCUGGGGAGUACGGUCGCAAGACUGAAACUCAAAGGAAUUGACGGGGGCCCGCACAAGCGGUGGAGCAUGUGGUUUAAUUCGAAGCAACGCGAAGAACCUUACCAGGUCUUGACAUCUUCUGACAAUUCCAGAGAUGGAACGUUCCCUUCGGGGACAGAAUGACAGGUGGUGCAUGGUUGUCGUCAGCUCGUGUCGUGAGAUGUUGGGUUAAGUCCCGCAACGAGCGCAACCCUUAUUGUCAGUUGCCAUCAUUAAGUUGGGCACUCUGGCGAGACUGCCGGUGACAAACCGGAGGAAGGUGGGGAUGACGUCAAAUCAUCAUGCCCCUUAUGACCUGGGCUACACACGUGCUACAAUGGACGGUACAACGAGUCGCUAACUCGCGAGGGCAAGCUAAUCUCUUAAAGCCGUUCUCAGUUCGGAUUGCAGGCUGCAACUCGCCUGCAUGAAGUCGGAAUCGCUAGUAAUCGCGAAUCAGCAUGUCGCGGUGAAUACGUUCCCCGGCCUUGUACACACCGCCCGUCACACCAUGAGAGUUUGUAACACCCAAAGUCGGUGGGGUAACCUUUU
rnacentral:rRNA from 1 species